ACACAUGCAAGUCGAGCGGUAACAUUUCAAAAGCUUGCUUUUGAAGAUGACGAGCGGCGGACGGGUGAGUAAUGCCUGGGAAUAUGCCUUGAUGUGGGGGAUAACCAUUGGAAACGAUGGCUAAUACCGCAUAAUGCCUACGGGCCAAAGAGGGGGAUCUUCGGACCUCUCGCGUCAAGAUUAGCCCAGGUGGGAUUAGCUAGUUGGUGAGGUAAUGGCUCACCAAGGCGACGAUCCCUAGCUGGUCUGAGAGGAUGAUCAGCCACACUGGAACUGAGACACGGUCCAGACUCCUACGGGAGGCAGCAGUGGGGAAUAUUGCACAAUGGGCGCAAGCCUGAUGCAGCCAUGCCGCGUGUGUGAAGAAGGCCUUCGGGUUGUAAAGCACUUUCAGUCGUGAGGAAGGUGGUAAUGUUAAUAGCAUUAUUGAAUUUGACGUUAGCGACAGAAGAAGCACCGGCUAACUCCGUGCCAGCAGCCGCGGUAAUACGGAGGGUGCGAGCGUUAAUCGGAAUUACUGGGCGUAAAGCGCAUGCAGUGGUUUGUUAAGUCAGAUGUGAAAGCCCGGGGCUCAACCUCGGAAUUGCAUUUGAAACUGGCAGACUAGAGUACUGUAGAGGGGG
rnacentral:rRNA from 1 species